UUGCAAGCUGCAACCGAUGACCUUUCAAUGCUGUUACUUUGGCAUCUUCCUUGAUUAAUUGACUGCAUGUAGAUAAAAAAAGGAACGGAAGGAGAGCUACCAUGCACAACCGUACGCAACUCCACCAGCAAUCAUUAAUUGCAUGCCUAACGUGGGUCUCCCAAUUCCUUGAAGCAUGGGUGGACCGUUUCAUUAAGGUAUAAUCGCCUCAUUAUGUGGCUAAUUGGUGAGUAUUCC
rnacentral:lncRNA from 1 species